rnacentral:rRNA from 1 species
UAGUACGAGAGGACCGGGAUGGACGCACCGCUGGUGUACCAGUUGUUCUGCCAAGGGCAUCGCUGGGUAGCUAUGUGCGGACGGGAUAAGUGCUGAAAGCAUCUAAGCAUGAAGCCCCCCUCAAGAUGAGAUUUCCCAUUCCUAUAAGGAAGUAAGAUCCCUGAAAGAUGAUCAGGUUGAUAGGUCUGAGGUGGAAGUGUGGCGACACAUGGAGCUGACAGAUACUAAUCGAUCGAGGACUUAACCUAAA